rnacentral:rRNA from 1 species
AAUUACUGGGCGUAAAGCGCACGCAGGCGGUUUGUUAAGUCAGAUGUGAAAUCCCCGGGCUCAACCUGGGAACUGCAUUUGAAACUGGCAAGCUAGAGUCUCGUAGAGGGGGGUAGAAUUCCAGGUGUAGCGGUGAAAUGCGUAGAGAUCUGGAGGAAUACCGGUGGCGAAGGCGGCCCCCUGGACGAAGACUGACGCUCAGGUGCGAAAGCGUGGGGAGCAAACAGGAUUAGAUACCCUGGUAGUCCACGCUGUAAACGAUGUCGAUUUGGAGGUUGUGCCCUUGAGGCGUGGCUUCCGGAGCUAACGCGUUAAAUCGACCGCCUGGGGAGUACGGCCGCAAGGUUAAAACUCAAAUGAAUUGACGGGGGCCCGCACAAGCGGUGGAGCAUGUGGUUUAAUUCGAUGCAACGCGAAGAACCUUACCUACUCUUGACAUCCAGAGAACUUUCCAGAGAUGGAUUGGUGCCUUCGGGAACUCUGAGACAGGUGCUGCAUGGCUGUCGUCAGCUCGUGUUGUGAAAUGUUGGGUUAAGUCCCGCAACGAGCGCAACCCUUAUCCUUUGUUGCCAGCGGUUCGGCCGGGAACUCAAAGGAGACUGCCAGUGAUAAACUGGAGGAGGGUGGGGGAUGACGUCAAGUCAUCAUGGCCCUUACGAGUAGGGCUACACACGUGCUACAAUGGCAUAUACAAAGAGAAGCGACCUCG